rnacentral:rRNA from 1 species
ACAGCAGUAGCCGCGGUAAUACAGAGGGUGCAAGCGUUAAUCGGAAUUACUGGGCGUAAAGCGCGCGUAGGUGGUUUGUUAAGUUGGAUGUGAAAGCCCCGGGCUCAACCUGGGAACUGCAUCCAAAACUGGCAAGCUAGAGUACGGUAGAGGGUGGUGGAAUUUCCUGUGUAGCGGUGAAAUGCGUAGAUAUAGGAAGGAACACCAGUGGCGAAGGCGACCACCUGGACUGAUACUGACACUGAGGUGCGAAAGCGUGGGGAGCAAACAGGAUUAGAUACCCCUGUAGUCCCUGUCUCUUAUAC